CGAACGGUUCAGUGCCUAACACCGAGUAUUUUAGGAGCUCGUAAGUUGGUGAGAGCGAGAGCGCGAAGAAUGAGCGCUCCACGCAAUCAAAAAGUACCAACAGAACUCAAAGAAUGAUCGGUGUUAGGUGCUGGAUAGUGGCGGACGUGUGAGUAACGCGUGGAUAACCUACCCAUGAGAUCGGGACAACCCUUGGAAACGAGGGCUAAUACCGGAUAGCCUUUGACCCUGGCAUCAGGGACAAAGGGAAGGUGGCCUCUGAAAAUGCUACCGCUGAUGGAUGGAUCCGCGUCUGAUUAGCUAGUUGGUGGGGUAAAGGCCUACCAAGGCGACGACCAGUAGCCGGCCUGAGAGGGUGAACGGCCACACUGGGACUGAGACACGGCCCAGACUCCUACGGGAGGCAGCAGUGGGGAAUCUUCCGCAAUGGACGAAAGUCUGACGGAGCAACGCCGCGUGUACGAUGAAGGCCUUCGGGUUGUAAAGUACUGUCUUCAGGGACGAAUGGUAGGGGUGUAAAUAAUGCCUUUACAUGACGGUACCUGAGAGGAAGCCCCGGCUAACUACGUGCCAGCAGC
rnacentral:rRNA from 1 species